rnacentral:rRNA from 1 species
UACGGGGGGAGCAAGCGUUGUUCGGAUUUACUGGGCGUAAAGGGCGCGUAGGCGGUCAGCACAAGUCAGUUGUGAAAUCUCCGGGCUUAACCCGGAAAGGUCAACUGAUACUGUGCGACUAGAGUGCGGAAGGGGCAACUGGAAUUCUCGGUGUAGCGGUGAAAUGCGUAGAUAUCGAGAGGAACACCUGCGGCGAAGGCGGGUCUCUGGACAGUUCCUGACGCUGAGGCACGAAGGUCAGGGGAGCAAACGGG